UCAUCAACAUGACCUUCAUCAUCAUCUUCAUCUGGACUCUCACAGCGUUUGCUCAAGAGAGUAGAGGACAGAUCAGCGUCACUCAGAGUCCCUCAACAGCAGCUCAACCAGGAGAAACAGUGAAGAUCAGCUGUAAAACCAGCACUGAUGUGUACAGAUGGAGUGAUGGGACUGAAGGUUUAGCCUGGUACUUACAGAAACCUGGACAAGCUCCUAAACUCCUGAUUUAUAAUGUAAAAAAUCUUCAGUCAGGAACUCCAUCUAGAUUCAGUGGCAGUGGAUCUAACAGUGAUUUCACUCUGACCAUCAGUGGAGUCCAGACUGAAGAUGCUGGACAUUAUUACUGUCAGAGUUACCACUUCAUCAGUCAAAAUGUGUUCACACAGUGA